UACGAAGGGGGCUAGCGUUGUUCGGAAUUACUGGGCGUAAAGCGUGCGCAGGCGGCUUCUCAAGUCAGGGGUGAAAGCCCAGAGCUCAACUCUGGAAUUGCCUUUGAGACUGAGAGGCUUGAGUACGGGAGAGGUGAGUGGAAUUCCCAGUGUAGAGGUGAAAUUCGUAGAUAUUGGGAAGGACACCAGUGGCGAAGGCGGCUCACUGGACCGUAACUGACGCUCAUGCACGACAGCGUGGGGAUCAAACAGG
rnacentral:rRNA from 1 species